UGAGACUCGCAGCUGCAGAUUCUCUGCUGAACGAGAUGAGCGGCAACUUCGGCACCACAGGAUCAACACGCGUCAAACACCUACAAUAGGACUGACACUGCUUCUAGGUUUUCUCUUCACCCUUUAUGGAUUCCACUGAGCUGCUUUUCCGUCAUGGUGCCUCCUGAUAAAAGCUCCAAACAAACCAAGGUGCCCAGGCAGCCCACCAAGUGGAGGCAGAGUCUGCCCUCUCCGGCCCUGUGCUGUGCCUGUGGUCUGUGCAUCUUGUUGGCUGGCAUUAACAUCACUCUGGUGGGGGCCUUUGCCUUUGGUACCUUCAUGCCCUCAGGAGGCCUCCAGCCCACACCGCUAACCAGGCUAAGGGGGGAGAAAAGUGGGGGCUGAUGCGUAUGGGGGCCGUGGCCUUUGAGAUGGAGACCAGUGAGCACACACUGCAGGACACUACAGCCGUUCAGCUCAGUCCAACUAACUCUCCAGCAUCCUCGCACAAGUCUAACUCCAGCCAUGGGGCCAAUAGUGCCCCGCUCCCCUGUCAGAGCGGGGGCGGUCUGAUUGCGGCUCUGGGUGAGAGCAUAGCGGGAACUUGACAUCUAGAUGACAUUAUGACACACUACAGGAUGGACAUGUAUCUUCUGUUGUCUUUCACCAAUGAAAAUGUAAAA
ensembl:lncRNA